UACGUAGGGUGCGAGCGUUGUCCGGAAUUACUGGGCGUAAAGAGCUCGUAGGUGGUUUGUCGCGUUGUCCGUGAAAACUCACAACUCAAUUGUGGGCGUGCGGGCGAUACGGGCAGACUGGAGUACUGCAGGGGAGACUGGAAUUCCUGGUGUAGCGGUGGAAUGCGCAGAUAUCAGGAGGAACACCGAUGGCGAAGGCAGGUCUCUGGGCCACUACUGACGCUGAGAAGCGAAAGCGUGGGGAGCAAACAGG
rnacentral:rRNA from 1 species